rnacentral:rRNA from 1 species
GGAAGUAAAAGUCGUAACAAGGUCUCCGUAGGUGAACCUGCGGAGGGAUCAUUACACAAGUAUGCAAGCCCAGGACUACCGCCCUCUCCCCUACUUGAGCGGUAGCCGCUAGGUUGGGGGUGGUGGCCUGGGAUCCAUCUUCACCCAUGUCUUUUUGCGUACUACCUGUUUCCUUGGCGAGCGAGCUCGCCAAUUGGACCACCAAUUAAACCUUUUUGUAAUUGCAAUCAGCGUCAGAUAACACAAAUGUAAUAAAUUACAACUUUCAACAACGGAUCUCUUGGUUCUGGCAUCGAUGAAGAACGCAGCGAAAUGCGAUAAGUAGUGUGAAUUGCAGAAUUCAGUGAAUCAUCGAAUCUUUGAACGCACAUUGCGCCCUUUGGUAUUCCAAAGGGCAUGCCUGUUCGAGCGUCAUUUGUACCCUCAAGCUUUUGCUUGGUGUUGGGCGUUUUUGUCGUGGGUCUGCCCACGACUCGCCUUAAAAUCAUUGGCAGCCGGCCUACUGGUUUCGGAGCGCAGCACAUUUUUGCGCUCAGUCCAGCAGCGGUCACGCGUCCACGAAGCGAAUUUUUUUCAACGUUUGACCUCGGAUCAGGUAGGGAUACCCGCUGAACUUAAGCAUAU